rnacentral:misc_RNA from 1 species
ACACCUCAACUCUCAUGGUCUGCCAUGAUGAGCUUGGACUUUGGGGGUCUUGCCGGCCUAGCGUCGGCUCCUCUCAAAUGGAUCAGCUUUCCAGUGUUUGGUGGCGUCACGGGUGUGAUAAUUAUCUACGCUUGUGGUUUUCCGCCAUGCAACCUUCAGCGAUGGAGGUUCGCUGGAGCUCACAGAUGUCUCUCCUUGGCGAGGACAGCUUUUUGAC